AACGAACGCUGGCGGCGCGUAUUAAGCAUGCAAGUCGAACGGGAACCGACCCCGCAAGGGGUUGGGGAGAGUGGCGAACGGGUGAGUAACACGUAGGUGAUCUGUCCCCGGGUGGGGUAUAGCCCAUGGAAACAUGGGGUAAUACCGCAUGAGGUCCUGGAGCUGAGGCUUCUGGAUGAAAGGCGCAAUUGUGUUGCCUGGGGAUGAGCCUGCGGCUCAUUAGCUAGUUGGCGGGGUAAAGGCCCACCAAGGCGACGAUGGGUAGCCGGCCUGAGAGGGUGUACGGCCACACUGGGACUGAGACACGGCCCAGACUCCUACGGGAGGCAGCAGCUAAGAAUCUUCCGCAAUGGGGGCAACCCUGACGGAGCGACGCCGCGUGGACGAAGAAGGCCGCAAGGUUGUAAAGCCCUUUUGCAGACGAAGUAUAAGGCUCGGAGUGGAAAGCCGGGCUGAUGACGUUAGUCUGCGAAUAAGCCCCGGCCAAUUACGUGCCAGCAGCCGCCGUAAUAC
rnacentral:rRNA from 1 species